rnacentral:tRNA from 2 species
GCGGAAGUGGCGAAAUAGGUAGACGCACCAGAUUUAGGUUCUGGCGCUUUCGGGUAUGCGAGUUCAAAUCUCGCCUUCCGCA